UCUGUGUAUGGGUAGAAAAACAGCAGAUAUGAGGUUCUUGACGCUAGCUCAUGUAACGUUCUCAAACGCAAGGCAGGAAUGGGACCUCGAAAGGUGAUGGACGACGGAUCUGGCAUUUAAACAAAAGCAGAAGGAAGAGCAAAAGAAACUUGAGGAGAUGAAAGCAAAGGCUGCUGGAAAAGGGCCCCUCACUAGUGGUGGAAUAAAGAAGUCUGGCAAAAAGUAGUUUGAUCAAACUGCAGGGUAAGAAGUGAUCAAGUUACUCGAUGGAUCUGCAGACUUCAGAGAGCCACGAAAACUCGCUGUAAUUUGGGAAACAUUGUACAUUUUGUUUAGUCAGAAUAAAUCUUUUUGUUAAGAUGUAAUA